rnacentral:rRNA from 1 species
UACGGAGGGUGCAAACGUUGUUCGGAUUCAUUGGGCUUAAAGGGCACGUAGGCGGUCGGCCAAGUCGGAUGUGAAAGCCCUCGGCUUAACCGAGGAACGGCAUCCGAAACUGGCCGGCUCGAGCGGAGAAGGGGAGAGCGGAACUUCUGGUGGAGCGGUGAAAUGCGUAGAUAUCAGAAGGAACGCCGGUGGCGAAAGCGGCUCUCUGGUCUCCUGCUGACGCUGAGGUGCGAAAGCCAGGGGAG